rnacentral:rRNA from 1 species
AGGACGAACGCUGGCGGCGUGCUUAACACAUGCAAGUCGAACGGUGAUCCACUUCGGUGGUGAUCAGUGGCGAACGGGUGAGUAACACGUGGGUAACCUGCCUCUUGCUCUGGGAUAACUCCGGGAAACCGGGGCUAAUACCGGAUAUUCAUUUCUGACCGCAUGGUUGGUUGUGGAAAGUUUUUCGGCGAGAGAUGGGCCCGCGGCCUAUCAGCUUGUUGGUGGGGUGAUGGCCUACCAAGGCGACGACGGGUA